UACGAAGGGUGCAAACGUUGCUCGGAAUUAUUGGGCGUAAAGCGCACGUAGGCGGCUUGGCAAGUCGGAUGUGAAAGCCCUCGGCUCAACCAAGGAAGUGCAUCCGAAACUGCUGAGCUUGAGUACUUAAGAGGAUCGCGGAAUUCCCGGUGUAGAGGUGAAAUUCGUAGAUAUCGGGAGGAACACCAGUGGCGAAGGCGGCUUCCUGGCCUGUUCUUGACGCUGAGGCGCGAAAGCUAGGGGAGCAAACGGG
rnacentral:rRNA from 1 species